AACGAACGCUGGCGGCAGGCCUAACACAUGCAAGUCGAGCGCUCACCUUCGGGUGGGAGCGGCGCACGGGUGAGUAACACGUGGGAACCUACCUUGAAGUACGGAAUAACUGAGGGAAACUUCAGCUAAUACCGUAUACGCCCUACGGGGGAAAGAUUUAUCGCUUCAAGACGGGCCCGCGUUGGAUUAGCUAGUUGGUGAGGUAAUGGCUCACCAAGGCAACGAUCCAUAGCUGAUUUGAGAGAAUGAUCAGCCACACUGGGACUGAGACACGGCCCAGACUCCUACGGGAGGCAGCAGUGGGGAAUAUUGGACAAUGGGCGCAAGCCUGAUCCAGCCAUGCCGCGUGAGUGAUGAAGGCCUUCGGGUUGUAAAGCUCUUUCAGAUGGGACGAUGAUGACGGUACCAUCAGAAGAAGCCCCGGCUAACUUCGUGCCAGCAGCCGCCGUAACAC
rnacentral:rRNA from 1 species